rnacentral:tRNA from 1 species
GGGGCUGUGGCAUCGGCAGUUCACGGAGGUGGAGGUUCUCGACCGGCCCCGGCCCGGUCAGGACUGUCCCGCGCAUACGCGUCUCGCGACCAUCGGACUCAUAAUCCGUCGGCUGUGGGUUCGAGUCCCACCCGCCCCA